UUAGGGUUCUCUACCUUCUCUCAUUCAGCGCCUCUUCUUCUCAGCCUUAUCUUCAACAUUCUUGCCAAACCUUCUUUCUGCAAAUUCAGAUCUAUUAUUUCGUGUGCCUCUGAGACUUCUAGCGUUGCCAGAUCCGGAUGGAUCUGAUCAAGAUCUACACACCCAUGGUGGUUUCGGCUUGGUUCGAUCAACUUUCUGUCGGGGUUUUGCUCCGGUUAGGUUCGGUAUUAUGUUAUUAGCGUCUUGAUUUUGUUAUGUUCAAUUUAUAUUAUCGGCGUUUCAUAGAUCUGAUGCAUGGAGACAUAGAUCUAUGCAUAGAGGUACGUGAGAUAAUCCAUGGGAAGAAAGCUGAUCCAACUAUAGAUCGAUCAUCUACUGACGCUCUUUGGAUCGUUAUGGAUGGAUGCUUGUAUGGAUGAUUUGGAUUAUUCAAGAAGCAGUGUUACUUCCUAGGGCUGCAUAUGUUGCUGGUCUCAGAUGUAAAAAUAUUGUAUGAUGUGAAGCUUUGAGGUGGAAAAUAUGUGGAUGUAGGAGAUUUCGGGAUGAACGACCUCAAAACGAUGAGUCGUUUGGGGUUGGGAGUCCUGAGUGAUCUUGUCAUCCGACCUUUGCCAUGUCAGGUGCGCUUGCUUGGCAGGUCAAAUAAUUGUUAAUAAAAAAAAGUUUUGUUGGUUUCGGGAGAGAUCGCACGGGAGUUGCCCGGGAUCUCUCCCUCGUGUGGUGUGUGCUCUGCUCUCUUUCAUUAUGCCUUUUAUUAUUACCUUUCUCUGUCGCUCCACUCCGUUAUAGAUCUCUGCACCAGAGGGAUUCAACAGAGGAUUCGCUCCAACAAUAAGGUAUUAUUUAUCAAUUUACAAUCAAAAGGUUAGAUAUUUCAAUUCGCAUAAUUAAAGAUAAAUCGACAACCGUAUACUUGUUUUUAAAAUAUAACAAACAUCGUUGAAGGUUCAAUAGUCAGCAGAUCGAAGAAUUUGUCAUCUUCCGUUAAUUUCAUUUAAUAUUUUAUUUAAAAGGUCGGUAAUGUGAAUAAUGUCAAUCUGAACUUUUUGGUAAUCUUAUAGGCAGAAGAUGCUAGGUGGAGUUCAUCAGUAGUUUCAUUCUUAAAGGUAAAACGGGGUCUGUGUUUAUAAAGGUAUUUUAAUUAUGAAUUACUUAUUUUAAGCCGUUAUCAGGCCAGUUUUCAUUAAACAACGAUACUGUUAACGUCAAUCCAUGCCUAUCAAAUAAUUACUUUCUUCAUUAUUACUUUCUUGUCGAACAAGUUUAUGUUCAUUACUACUAUUAGCGCAACAAUACUAUUAUCAUUUUGUUUAUGUUUAUUAUUGUUUCAUUUCACUUGUUCAAUCCGGUGACGUCUUCUUAUAAAGAUUGAUCACAUGUAGUAUUGCCGGCUUAGUACCAUAUACUUGUAAAUUUGAUGACAUGUAAUAAGUUCAGCUUCGGCAGUCAACGUUUGUAAUGCAGAAAUAGCUAAUUUUCAAAGCGUAUAAUUUUGAGGAUUGUAGCAUAGUUAUGCUUUGCCAAUGGGAUCUUCUUUCAACAUCGAAGUAUAAAUCUUCCAAUUAUUUGAAGACGCUAUAUGGCUUCUGCUGGGGAAAUAUCACUGGGAUAGAGGAGCUUUGUAUUGGAUAAUCUCGUGGAUUGCGGAAGAUUCUGAUUUAGGCUUCUAUGUUUAAGGUGAAGAUAAUUUCGGCUCUCUACUACAUACACGGAAAGUAUAUUUUUCUUUCAAGUUAAUUUAAGUUUGGAUUCAUUUUUGGAAUUGAGUUACGAUGUUGUUAUUAAAUUUCUUCGUCUUUUACCUUAUUUAUACUGUCAAUAUUCAGGUGUUCAUUGUUGGUUAUUGUU